rnacentral:rRNA from 1 species
GACGAACGCUGGCGGCGUGCUUAAUACAUGCAAGUCAACUGAACUUGAGGUAGCAAUAUCACAAGAGAGGUGGCGCACGGGUGAGUAACACGUAGGUAAUCUGCCUUUAGGUCUGACAUAAUUCCGCGAAAGCGGGACUAAUAUCAGAUGAUGCAGCGGCUCGACAUCGAGACAGUUGUUAAACCUUCGGGGCCGUAAAGAUGAGCCUGCGUCUGAUUAGGUAGUUGGCGGAGUAAAAGCCCACCAAGCCUGCGAUCAGUAGCUGGUCUGAGAGGAUGAUCAGCCACACUGGAACUGAGACACGGUCCAGACUCCUACGGGAGGGCAGCAGUAAGGAAUAUUGCUCAAUGGCCGAAAGGCUGAAGCAGCAACGCCGCGUGGAGGAUGAAAUACUUUUGUAUGUAAACUCCUGUAAGAGGGGAAAAA